rnacentral:lncRNA from 1 species
CAGCCACCCCAGGUGUCUGUCCCAGAGCUGCCCCUAAGCCUGACCUCUGAGGGGCCUUGCAGGGAACCCAGCAGCCAGGUGGACUUUUCCAGCUCUGGAUGAAUGUGAACAGGGCCAUGCCUGGGGCCGAGUCAUCGCUUGCUCACCGACCUUCGGGAUCCUCCACCUGAGGGCCAGAAUGCUCUCCGGUGCUCGAGCCCUGUUAGGGCUGGUGUCCAUCUCCACCACUCUGCUCCUCUGGCAAGACUGGAACUCUGCCCGUCCCUCCUGCCCUGGCGGCUGCCUUCUGUGAGCCCCGUCUGUGCUCAAGGCCACCCGACCCUUUGUGUGACUGGCCCGCCCGUGCUACCGCAGGUGUCUUUUCAGCCACCUGGUUCCACACUACAAAGACGCAGAGGACAACCGACCACCAGGCCACGGUACUGAGUCCCGCUGCUCCCGGCACAGAGCCCUAGGUGGUCGGCACAGGUGCUGCUGCCUCCCGGGCACCUGCCCUUCUGGCUGCUGUCUGGUGUCCCCUCCAGCCUCAUUCAGAAUGAGCCAGCAUUUGCACGGUGCCCGGCUGUGUCCUGCCAGCCUUCCCUCCACCAGGACACCCUGGAACCUUGUCCUCAUUGCUGACUGUGUGCCCCUGGACUCCCGCCCUGAGCUCACAGCGUGUCCUUCAGCCACCGUCUCUGAAAAUCCACGGUCUGAUAACUCGAUGACUCUCACAGCAAUCCCAGCCCUUGUUUCACGGUGGCAGAGCCAGCUGUCGCUCUCCCCACCAGUGCUAGGACAGC